CAGCAGCCGCGGUAAUACCGGCGGCUCGAGUGGUGGCCGCUUUUAUUGGGCUUAAAGCGUUCGUAGCUGGGUUGUUAAGUCUCUUGGGAAAUCUGGCGGCUUAACCGUCAGGCGUCUAAGGGAUACUGGCAAUCUUGGAACCGGGAGAGGUGAGGGGUACUUCGGGGGUAGGAGUGAAAUCCUGUAAUCCUCGAGGGACCACCUGUGGCGAAGGCGCCUCACCAGAACGGCUUCGACAGUGAGGGACGAAAGCUGGGGGAGCAAACCGGAUUAGAUACCCGGGUAGUCCCAGCCGUAAACUAUGCGCGUUAGGUGUAUCGGUGACCACGAGUUACCGAGGUGCCGAAGGGAAACCGUGAAACGUGCCGCCUGGGAAGUACGGUCGCAAGGCUGAAACUUAAAGGAAUUGGCGGGGGAGCACCACAACAGGUGGAGCCUGCGGUUUAAUUGGACUCAACGCCGGGAAGCUCACCGGAUAAGACAGCAGAAUGAUUGCCGGGCUGAAGACUCUGCAUGACUAGCUGAGAGGAGGUGCAUGGCC
rnacentral:rRNA from 1 species